CCUACGGGGGGCAGCAGUGAGGAAUAUUGGUCAAUGGGCGUAAGCCUGAACCAGCCAAGUCGCGUGAGGGAUGAAGGUUCUAUGGAUCGUAAACCUCUUUUAUAAGGGAAUAAAGUGUGGGACGUGUCCUGUUUUGUAUGUACCUUAUGAAUAAGGAUCGGCUAACUCCGUGCCAGCAGCCGCGGUAAUACGGAGGAUCCGAGCGUUAUCCGGAUUUAUUGGGUUUAAAGGGUGCGUAGGCGGCCUUUUAAGUCAGCGGUGAAAGUCUGUGGCUCGACCAUAGAAUUGCCGUGGAAACUGGGAGGCUUGAGUAUGUUUGAGGCAGGCGGAAUGCGUGGGGUAGCGGUGAAAUGCUUAGAUAUCACGCAGAACCCCGAUUGCGAAGGCAGCCUGCCAAGCCAUGACUGACGCUGAUGCACGAAAGCGUGGGGAUCAAACAGGAUUAGAUACCCGGGUAGUC
rnacentral:rRNA from 1 species